GGAUUGAAACCCCUGACAGAAGUAGUAACUGCAGUUGCUGUUUUUUCCUCUGAUUAAACAGAUUGAUAUUGUCUGUCAAGAUACUCAAAAACAAAAAAGUUUUUCACAGGGCACAACACAGAAUGAGGGCAGAUGUUAUUAUUUUACUAUGCUGUACAGCAGUGGCCAGUUCACAACAAAGGGAGCCUCCAUGUGCAGAUGGAUCCUAUCCUAUCUGCCCCGGAGCUUGUAAGGAUGGAUCGGAUGCGGUUCUACCACCAGCAGCAAAAGGUGGCGCAUGUGCCGACAAAUCUAGACCUGACUUUAAACUUUGCAGUUGUGCAGACGGUAGCUCUUUCAGAAAAAGUAAUAAUAUACACCAUAGAAACAAUGGAAAAACGAGUAAAAAUCUUGAGCAAGGAAAUAAAAGUGGCAGAAAUAGAAUGG